CUUGCUUCUCUUGAGAGCGGCGGACGGGUGAGUAAUGCCUAGGAAUCUGCCUGGUAGUGGGGGAUAACGUUCGGAAACGGACGCUAAUACCGCAUACGUCCUACGGGAGAAAGCAGGGGACCUUCGGGCCUUGCGCUAUCAGAUGAGCCUAGGUCGGAUUAGCUAGUUGGUGGGGUAAUGGCUCACCAAGGCGACGAUCCGUAACUGGUCUGAGAGGAUGAUCAGUCACACUGGAACUGAGACACGGUCCAGACUCCUACGGGAGGCAGCAGUGGGGAAUAUUGGACAAUGGGCGAAAGCCUGAUCCAGCCAUGCCGCGUGUGUGAAGAAGGUCUUCGGAUUGUAAAGCACUUUAAGUUGGGAGGAAGGGUUGUAGAUUAAUACUCUGCAAUUUUGACGUUACCGACAGAAUAAGCACCGGCUAACUCUGUGCCAGCAGCCGCGGUAAUACAGAGGGUGCAAGCGUUAAUCGGAAUUACUGGGCGUAAAGCGCGCGUAGGUGGUUUGUUAAGUUGGAUGUGAAAUCCCCGGGCUCAACCUGGGAACUGCAUUCAAAACUGACUGACUAGAGUAUGGUAGAGGGUGGUGGAAUUUCCUGUGUAGCGGUGAAAUGCGUAGAUAUAGGAAGGAACACCAGUGGCGAAAGCGACCACCUGGACUAAUACUGACACUG
rnacentral:rRNA from 1 species